UACGUAGGUGGCCAGCGUUGUCCGGAUUUACUGGGCGUAAAGAGCGCGCAGGCGGUCGUUCAAGUCGAGUGUGAAAGCCCCCGGCUCAACUGGGGAGGGUCACUCGAUACUGAUCGACUGGAAGGCAGGAGAGGGAAGCGGAAUUCCCGGUGUAGUGGUGAAAUGCGUAGAUAUCGGGAGGAACACCAGUGGCGAAGGCGGCUUUCUGGCCUGUUCUUGACGCUGAGGCGCGAAAGCUAGGGGAGCAAACGGG
rnacentral:rRNA from 1 species